AUGCCGCUCCUUGGCCUCCUGCUGCUCUGGUUCCAAGGUGCCAGUUGUGCCAUCCGGGUGACCCAGUCUCCAGCCUCCCUGGGUGCAUCUCUCAGAGACACAGUCUCCAUCACUUGCCGGGCCAGUCAGAGUGUUAGCAGCGAAUUAGCCUGGUAUCAACAACAACCAGGGAAGGCUCCUAAACUCUUGAUCCAUGCUGCAUCCACUUUGCAAAGUGGGGUCCCUUCCCAGUUCAGGGGCAGUGGAUCUGGCACCGAUUUCACCCUCACCAUCAGUGGCCUGCAGACUGAAGAUGUUAGAACUUAUUACUGUCAGCAGUAA